UACAGAGGUCUCAAGCGUUGUUCGGAUUCAUUGGGCGUAAAGGGUGCGUAGGUGGCGCUGUAAGUCGGGUGUGAAAUUUCGGAGCUUAACUCCGAACUGCAUUCGAUACUGCGGUGCUUGAGGACUGGAGAGGAGACUGGAAUUCAUGGUGUAGCAGUGAAAUGCGUAGAGAUCAUGAGGAAGACCAGUGGCGAAGGCGGGUCUCUGAACA
rnacentral:rRNA from 1 species